rnacentral:rRNA from 1 species
AUUGAACGCUGGCGGCAGGCUUAACACAUGCAAGUCGAACGAGUGGAGGACGGGAGAGUAAUGCUUGGGAAUCUAGCUCAUGGAGGGGGAUAACUACGGGAAACUGUAGCAAAUACCGAGUUGCAUAGGAUGGGCCCAGGUGGGUUUGGGUAGUUGGUGAGGUAAAGGCUCACCAAGCCCACGAUCUCUAGCUGGUCUGAGAGGAUGACCAGCCACACUGGGACUGGGACACGGCCCAGACUCCUACGGGAGGCAGCAGUGGGGAAUAUUGCGCAAUGGGGGCAACCUGACGCAGCCAUGCCGCGUGAAUGAAGAAGGCCUUCGGGUUGUAAAGUUCUUUCGGUAGCGAGGCGUUAACUACAGAAGAAGCACCGGCUAACUCCGUGCCAGCAGCCGCGGUAAUAC